AAAGAAAAUAACAAUGAUUCCCCCAGUAGUGGCGAGCGAACGGGGAAUAGCCCAAACCAACAGUGUUACGGCAUUGUUGGGGUUGUAGGACCACGACGUUGCAAGAAAUUUCGUGAGAAGAACGGUCUGGAAAGGCCGGCCACAGCGGGUGACAGCCCCGUAUUCGAAGCGAGACGAAGCAUAGUGUAAUCCUGAGUAGCGCGGGACACGAGGAAUCCUGC
rnacentral:rRNA from 1 species